AGACGGAGGGCUCAAACGUUGUUCGGAAUUACUGGGCAUAAAGCGCACGCAGGCGGCUUGCUAAGUCGAGUGUGAAAUCCCCCGGCUCAACCGGGGAACUGCACUCGAAACUGGCGAGCUCGAGGACGGCAGGGGUAAGUGGAACUCCAGGUGGAACGGUGAAAUGUGUAGAUAUCUUGAGGAACACCGGUGGCGAAAGCGGCUUACUGGGCCGUCUCUGACGCUGAGGUGCGAAAGCUAGGGUAGCGAACGGGAGUAGAAACCCCGGUAGUCC
rnacentral:rRNA from 1 species